rnacentral:rRNA from 1 species
UACGUAGGGUGCGAGCGUUGUCCGGAAUUAUUGGGCGUAAAGAGCUUGUAGGCGGUUUGUCGCGUCUGCCGUGAAAUUUCGGGGCUCAACCCCGAACUUGCGGUGGGUACGGGCAGACUAGAGUGUGGUAGGGGAGUCUGGAAUUCCUGGUGUAGCGGUGAAAUGCGCAGAUAUCAGGAGGAACACCGGUGGCGAAGGCGGGACUCUGGGCCGAUACUGACGCUGAGGAGCGAAAGCGUGGGGAGCGAACAGG